UAGGGAAUCUUCGGCAAUGGACGGAAGUCUGACCGAGCAACGCCGCGUGAGUGAAGAAGGUUUUCGGAUCGUAAAGCUCUGUUGUAAGAGAAGAACGAGUGUGAGAGUGGAAAGUUCACACUGUGACGGUAUCUUACCAGAAAGGGACGGCUAACUACGUGCCAGCAGCCGCGGUAAUACGUAGGUCCCGAGCGUUGUCCGGAUUUAUUGGGCGUAAAGCGAGCGCAGGCGGUUAGAUAAGUCUGAAGUUAAAGGCUGUGGCUUAACCAUAGUACGCUUUGGAAACUGUUUAACUUGAGUGCAAGAGGGGAGAGUGGAAUUCCAUGUGUAGCGGUGAAAUGCGUAGAUAUAUGGAGGAACACCGGUGGCGAAAGCGGCUCUCUGGCUUGUAACUGACGCUGAGGCUCGAAAGCGUGGGGAGCAAACAGGAUUAGAUACCCUGGUAGUCCACGCCGUAAACGAUGAGUGCUAGGUGUUAGACCCCUUCCGGGGUUUAGUGCCGUAGCUAACGCAUUAAGCACUCCGCCUUGGGAGUACGACCGCAAGGUUG
rnacentral:rRNA from 1 species